UAGGCAUAGGCAGCCUCUCUCUGUCUCUCUAUCUCCUCUCCCUCUCUCUCUCCUUGAAUCCAAAAACGCUUCUUCUUCCUUCCCUGCUUUUCUUUUUUUUUUUCUCUCUCUAUUUUUCCCAUUUCUUUCUCCAUAUCCAGCCUCCGACCACCUUAUUCAGCCACGGCCGCCCAGAUCCGCCCACCUAAUAGUCUACAGCCGAGAUUCGUCCAUGUCCGGCCUCCGACCACCGGAUUCAGCCACCGCCGCGCAGAUCCGGCCACCAUUUACUUUGUUUUGACAAAAACCGGGGUCAUCAACCGGUUCGCCGGUUUCCGGGUUUUGCCCGGUUGAACCGGGUUUCGGUCAUUUGACCCCGGUUUUUUAUUUUUCCGGUUUUGGAGCUCAAACCGGACCGCCUUGUCGCCGGGUCGCGGUCGAACCGGUCCGACCGGCCGGUCCGGUCCGAUUCUUACAACAUUGGUAAUACCUACUACCUAGUCAUGAAUUAUGUUCAUGUGGAAUAAUAAGUCAAUUUUUAUAUAACAUAUGUAUAAGU
rnacentral:lncRNA from 1 species